GUGCUUGCUUCAGCAUUAUACAUGAUAAAGUUCGAACAGUACAGAGAAGAUUCGCAUGACCCCUGCACAAGGAUGACACGCAAAUUUAGGAAGCAUUCCACUUCUUU
ensembl:snRNA U6 U6 spliceosomal RNA